ACGCUGGCGGCACGCCUAACACAUGCAAGUCGAACGAAGUAGCAAUACUUAGUGGCAGACGGGUGAGUAACAUGUAGGUAUCUGCCCUUUGGCCUGGAAUAACACGAGGAAACUUGUGCUAAUACCGGAUAAGUCUUUACGGAGAAAGCUUUAUGCACCAUUGGAUGAGCCUGCACUUGAUUAGUUUGUUGGUGGGGUAAUGGCCUACCAAGACUGUGAUCAAUAGCUGAUUUGAGAGGAUGAUCAGCCACAUUGGGACUGAGACACGGCCCAAACUCCUACGGGAGGCAGCAGUGGGGAAUCUUGCACAAUGGAGGAAACUCUGAUGCAGCGAUGCCGCGUGAGUGAAGAAGGCCCUUGGGUUGUAAAGCUCUUUCGUCGGGGAAGAAAAUGACUGUACCCGAAUAAGAAGGUCCGGCUAACUUCGUGCCAGCAGCCGCGGUAAUACGAAGGGACCUAGCGUAGUUCGGAAUUACUGGGCUUAAAGAGUUCGUAGGUGGUUGAAAAAGUUAGUGGUGAAAUCCCAGAGCUUAACUCUGGAACUGCCAUUAAAACUUUUCAGCUAGAGUGUGAUAGAGGAAAGCAGAAUUUCUAGUGUAGAGGUGAAAUUCGUAGAUAUUAGAAAGAAUACCAAUUGCGAAGGCAGCUUUCUGGAUCAUUACUGACACUGAGGAACGAAAGCAUGGGUAGCGAAGAGGAUUAGAUACCCUCGUAGUCCAUGCCGUAAACGAUGUGUGUUAGACGUUGGAAAUUUAUUUUCAGUGUCGCAGCGAAAGCGAUAAACACACCGCCUGGGGAGUACGACCGCAAG
rnacentral:rRNA from 1 species